rnacentral:lncRNA from 1 species
UUUUGGUAAAACUAUUCACCCAGAAUUAAAAUAGUGUCAAAUGAAGCCGUAGAUGAAAAAGGAAUAGAUUGUAUGAUUCCCUAGUAACUGUGUGAACAGAACUGAUCAGGUAACACAGCUCUGGUGUUAAUUUCCUUACCAUAAAAGGAAAGAUGCUGACCUCAAAUUUAACCUCUGAAAGAGACCUGUUCACAAGCUUUUACACAAGAGAGAAAAUCAGCUUUCAUGAUAUUUAACUUAGGGAUGCUUUAGAUACCAAGACCGGAGAAUGGUGAUGGGUCUUAGAAUGCCACAUUUGAGCAAGUAAAAUAGUAAAGCAC